GUGAGGAAUAUUGCGCAAUGGGCGAAAGCCUGACGCAGCGACGCCGCGUGGAGGAUGAAGGUCUUCGGAUUGUAAACUCCUGUCGAGUGGGACGAAUGCCGGGGGGGCAAACAGCCCCUUCGGUUGACGGUACCACUGGAGGAAGCCCCGGCUAACUCCGUGCCAGCAGCCGCGGUAAUACGGAGGGGGCCAGCGUUGUUCGGAAUUAUUGGGCGUAAAGGGCGCGUAGGCGGCCAAGUGAGUCGGACGUGAAAUCCCUCGGCUCAACCGGGGAACUGCGUCCGAUACUGCUUGGCUUGAGUCCUGGAGAGGGUAGUGGAAUUCCCAGUGUAGCGGUGAAAUGCGUAGAUACUGGGAGGAACACCAGUGGCGAAGGCGGCUACCUGGACAGCGACUGACGCUGAGGCGCGAAAGCUAGGGGAGCAAACAGGAUUAGAAACCCGGGUAGUCC
rnacentral:rRNA from 1 species